UACGGAGGGUGCAAGCGUUAUCCGGAUUCACUGGGUUUAAAGGGUGCGUAGGUGGGCAGUUAAGUCAGUGGUGAAAUCUCCGGGCUCAACCCGGAAGCUGCCAUUGAUACUAUCUGUCUUGAAUAUCGUGGAGGUAAGCGGAAUAUGUCAUGUAGCGGUGAAAUGCUUAGAUAUGACAUAGAACACCAAUUGCGAAGGCAGCUUCUACCCGAAUAUUGACACUGAGGCACGAAAGCGUGGGGAUCAAACAGG
rnacentral:rRNA from 1 species